rnacentral:rRNA from 1 species
UUAAACGCCAUACCACCCUGAGCACGCCGAUCUCGUCUGAUCUCGGAAGCUAAGCAGGGUCGGGCCUGGUUAGUACUUGAAUGGGAGACCGCCUGGGAAUAACCAGGUGCGCAGUAAC